GACGAGUUUCAGCGAUGAGACAAGAUCGUAAUCACGAAAUUGGAGAGAAAAAGGGGCCCUGGCCUAAAACCAACCCCAGACUUCCACUGGCCUUGCGUUGGGAUCAUCACAUUUUAGCAGGUGUGGGAUUUGAGAAGGAGAGAUCAUUUGGUGGUGUGUACAUGGACUGUGAAGGCCACCAGGGAGAGUUGGCAAGGCAUAACUUACCCCAGCCAACAAGCAUGCUGAGGCAGAUACAUAGCAUUCCCCAAUGAUGACCCAAUGCUGCCAGCAAAAGCCCUCCACCUCAGCUGCUGUAGCCGUGUCCCAGGGAGGUUGUAAAGAUGGAGAAGAGGCUUCUGAGUAGGCCUAUAUACAGCAGGGAUUGUUUGUACCUCUACCUUGGUCUUUCUGCUUCAGUGGAAACAAAAGACUGUUGACAUCAGUAAGUGAAACUGGGGCUUGUUGAGAAUUGUGGGACAUUCAUACUCCGUGAACCUGUUUCGGUAAGUCAAUCCUUCAUGGCCUGUUUAGUAUCCGUUCCCCUCUAUUUGAAAAAGUGAUUUCCAAUAAACUGUGAUCAGCUUUGUGCAGAGCCCAUUCUAUUAUAAUAGUGAAGAUACAAAUGUUGUGCCGAAUAGAAGAUUUGAGGGUUGGUGUUCCUACAGUGGCCUUUCAGAUGUUCAAGCAUAUAAUAUCCAGACAGAAAAACAACAACAUUAAAAGAAUGAUGAAACAAUCGGUAACAUGGGAAAUAGGACAGAAAAUAAGUGAUUAUGAUAAUAAACUCAUGAUGUAAUUUGAAUUGAUGCAUAAAUUAGUUCUAAAUGCACCUCAUGUCUCUCAAUUGUCUGAAUGAUGUGGAUAACAUAACAUUGUCACCACACUGACAAAACACAAGCUGUUGUUGAGUGUCUAGGGCAGUUGAUGACACCAUCAUAUAGAGACAGAUUUGUCAUAUGUCAUGGUUAACAUUGACACAAUUCUAAAUCUAAGAUUACUACAGUCCCUUGCACAAACACGGUCUCAAUUUGCGUGUAUGUCUUCCACCCAGCAAUGUGAAGACACAAGGUAAUUACAGACACCACUGGACACUCAGCUGCUCCCAAAGCCAUGAAAGAGUCAGGACUCAGAAUGGCCUAGAAGAUGGUUAGGAGAAGACAUGGAGAGAUAUGGUUAGAAGGAGAGAUGUGGAGUAACACAGGACAGAGGGCAUUGGGAGGUUGAUGCUGGAUAGCGGUUAAGAGAGAAUAGGCAUACAAACACACUAGUGUUAAGCAGUGUUGGUGGAGUAAUGAACUACAUGUAAUUCAACUAGUAAUUCAACUACAGUGUAGUUAAUUCGUUUUUUGCCAUGUAGUGGUGUAGCUAACUACUGAAACUACACACUACUCUUUUUGCAAAAAGAGAAGAAAAAAUGGGUGAAAUAGGCAAGAAUUACCAUUAUUUUCCAGGCAACGUGGAAACAUGUUUUUUGUGUUUUUAUUAUUAUAGUUUUAUUUUUUAUUUUUUGUGUUUAAUAGGCUAAAUUGCACACUCGGUUAACAUCUGACCCAAGAGUGAUCUGUUCUUGCAAUUUGCAAAAAAACUAUAUUUUUCUUAAGGGUAGCAUUAAUGUAGGUAACUUCUUCUAGUGUGAAAUAAUUGGUAGUUUGGUAAAUUAUGAUUUCAGAGUAGCUUCCCCAACACUCGUUUUAAGCAUUUUGUAGACCUAUUAGUUAUGGUCUCAAAGACUCUCUGUCCAAAAUGCAGCUUAGCGUUUUUCAUAAUUAACCUUGUUCUGGAGGCAGCUCUGCAGAGUGGUCACUAGCUGGCACAGCCACAAAGUAAUCAAAUUGGAUUUGAAGCCUAACCAUAACACUAAACUUAAUCAUACGGCUAACCUUAAUGCCUAACCAUCACCUUAAAGUAUGACCAGAAAGCAAAUUUUUUGUUUCAAGGAAUUUUUACUAGCGGAAGUCGCUCAGUUCUGCCUCCAGGGCAAUAUUCCUGACAAUAAUCGUCAACCUGUGUCCAAAGCAGGGAUCUUCUAAGUUUGUGUGCUCGCGUGUGAAUAAUCACAGACAGUCUCCCAAGACAGGGGGGGGGAGUCUCCCAAGACCACAGAUGUGGUGAUCUCAUUUGAGAAGAAUGUAGACCUACUCCUUCCUAUUACUACAGUGGAGUUGAUGAAGACUUACAAACGAUUAAUAGAUGCAGGUCAUGCAGCUGAAUAUUACAAAAAUACAGCUAUCUAAUGAUUGGAAAUAAUGUGUACAUUUUCACCCCAUAAUAUCCCAUGCUGAAGUACUGCAGCAGCACUGCUGUUUAACAGAUAUGCAGACCUGAGUUUUACAGACUAUUGUGGCUUUGACUGGAGGUUGGCUGGUCUGUGUGUACUUCAAACUUAGACGAGAGCAAUGGCCCUGAGAAUCCACUGAUUUGCGCUCACCACUGUUGCACGGAUCAACACUCAUUCAGUUUAAACUGUAUAUGUGGGUCUCUUCUUCGGCACCAGUGGUGUAGUGCUAUUUUUUUAGGUAAGGGAGUGCACCAACAAAAAAGUUAACUAAGUCAUCAGUUCAUCAAUCAAAGUUUGUACCGACAAAUGUAGACUAUUGAAUAGCCUAUCCAAUUGCAAAGUCUGCCUAUGCCCACACACUUUGUCUCAAGAAAAUGUUAUAUUUUAAUACCCUGAAACACCACAUUAGACAUACCUAAUAUCAAAUAGGCCAUCACUACUAUCAAUCGUGAAUGAUAAUUAUUUAUGUUUUAUCGGUUAAAUGUAAUUUGGUUGAUCUCAAUCAGUUG